CUCUUUUGGUAAUGGUUUUCAGGUAGGCCAAUAAAUUUAAAAUUGUCUCUUCUGGAUUUAUUUUCCUGAUCAAAUGUUUUUCUAAUGAGGAGUUGUCUGGAUCCAGUGGGAAGAUAUCAAUCUGGACUACUACAGUUAGCCCCUAAUACACGCUCUUUGAGUCCUGGCUCCCCCAGCUUCUCACAGCAUGUCAUUCAGAGUCUCCUCAGAGCAGUUCACCGCAGAUACCAUGCCCGGAAU